rnacentral:rRNA from 1 species
GACGAACGCUGGCGGCGUGCUUAACACAUGCAAGUCGAACGGAAAGGCCUGCUUUCCCUUGUGGAUUGCGGGUACUCGAGUGGCGAACGGGUGAGUAACACGUGAGUGAUCUGCCCCCAACUUGGGUAUAAGCCUGGGAAACUGGGUCUAAUUCCCGAUAGGACUGCAGGGUGGUGCCUGUGGUGGAAAACGAUUUUCUAGUGGUUGGGGAUGAGCUCGCGGCCUAUCAGCUUGUUGGUGGGGUAAUGGCCUACCAAGGCGGCGACGGGUAGCCGGCCUGGGGGGGUGACCGCCAAAUUGGGACUUGGGAUACGGCCAGGACUCUAAGGGAGGGAGGAGGGGGGGAAAUUGGACCAUGGGGGGGAGGCCUAAGCCGGGGCGCCGGGUUGGGGAUUGCCGGCUUUGGGUUGGUAACCCCCUUUGAACGCGGGGAAGGCAACUUGUUGGGAAGGGGGGGAAGGGUGGUGGUGAAGAAGCACCGGCUAACUACGUG